UCCCUGGUGGCUCAGAUGGUAAAGCGUCUGCCUACAAUGCGGGAGGCCCGGGUUCAAUUCCUGGGUUGGGAA
rnacentral:tRNA from 1 species